GUUGUCUCUCUUGAGUGGAUCCUGAGUACGACGGAGCACGUGAAAUUCCGUCGGAAUCUGGGAGGACCAUCUCCUAAGGCUAAAUACUCUCUAGUGACCGAUAGUGAACCAGUACCGUGAGGGAAAGGUGAAAAGCACCCCGGAAGGGGAGUGAAAUAGAACCUGAAACCGUGUGCUUACAAGUAGUCAGAGCCCGUUAAUGGGUGAUGGCGUGCCUUUUGUAGAAUGAACCGGCGAGUUACGAUUUGAUGCAAGGUUAAGCAGUAAAUGUGGAGCCGUAGCGAAAGCGAGUCUGAAUAGGGCGUUUAGUAUUUGGUCGUAGACCCGAAACCAGGUGAUCUACCCUUGGUCAGGUUGAAGUUCAGGUAACACUGAAUGGAGGACCGAACCGACUUACGUUGAAAAGUGAGCGGAUGAACUGAGGGUAGCGGAGAAAUUCCAAUCGAACCUGGAGAUAGCUGGUUCUCUCCGAAAUAGCUUUAGGGCUAGCCUCAAGUGAUGAUUAUUGGAGGUAGAGCACUGUUUGGACGAGGGGCCCCUCUCGGGUUACCGAAUUCAGACAAACUCCGAAUGCCAAUUAAUUUAACUUGGGAGUCAGAACAUGGGUGAUAAGGUCCGUGUUCGAAAGGGAAACAGCCCAGACCACCAGCUAAGGUCCCAAAAUAUAUGUUAAGUGGAAAAGGAUGUGGCGUUGCCCAGACAACUAGGAUGUUGGCUUAGAAGCAGC
rnacentral:rRNA from 1 species